CAUCUGCAGAAAUGCGACGGACAUUCAUACAGGUAAUGUGGCUUCGCCGUCAUUUACUCGCACGGGGGCAUCCAGAAACGAACCCGAAAUUCAUAAAGUGAAUGUUGCUGCAUCACUUUCACCUUCGUUUGAUACUCGCAUUGGGAGGGCACACAGAAGCGCAAUUGAGAACAAGAAAGGGAAUGUGUCUGCAACACCAACUUCGUCUGGUACUCGCACGAGGGCACGCGGCUGCGCAACUGGGAACAAUAAAGA